CCUGUCACAGAACAGGUCGGGAUGUGAACCGCGAGGUCGAAGAUCUCGCCGAGAUUGGAAAUCUCGCUACGGUUUGAACCACGCA
rnacentral:ncRNA from 1 species